rnacentral:rRNA from 1 species
CCUACGGGCGGCAGCAGUGAGGAAUAUUGGUCAAUGGACGAGAGUCUGAACCAGCCAAGUAGCGUGAAGGAUGACUGCCCUAUGGGUUGUAAACUUCUUUUAUAUGGGAAUAAAAUGUUCCACGUGUGGCGGGAAGGAGAGUACCCGAAGAAAAAGCAUCGGCUAACUCCGUGCCAGCAGCCGCGGUAAUACGGGGGUUGCGAGCGUUAUCCGGAUUUAUUGGGUUUAAAGGGUGCGUAGGCGGAAGGUUAAGUCAGCGGUAAAAUGUCGGUGCUCAACACCGGCCUGCCGUUGAAACUGGUCUUCUUGAGUGAGCGAGAAGUAUGCGGAAUGCGUGGUGUAGCGGUGAAAUGCAUAGAUAUCACGCAGAACUCCGAUUGCGAAGGCAGCAUACCGGCGCUCAACUGACGCUGAGGCACGAAAGCGUGGGGAUCGAACAGGAUUAGAUACCCUGGUAGUC